AUCAGAUGAGUAGGAUUAUUAAUUAUUUUUAUGCCCUUAGGAGCUUGCAUAGCGCUUUCAAAUACUAUGAGAGAUGGUGAUGGAGGAGGCUUUCAUUCAGCUUUAAGGAAAAUGAAAUUAUGGAAAUGGCAGCCACAUAAGAGAUCAGGAGCAAGAAAGAUCCAGCCACAAACGUUUUGGAAAACUGAUAUGAUGGAAUCAUAAGCUAGCAGAAUGCUCAUUGCUAUUGGCAGACACUGAGGAUGAAAAAUGUGGAUCUGAGUUCAUUUACCUGAAAUUCUGCCAGCACCAUUUGUUGACUAGGCUGAGUUCUUUCCAGUAUAUGUUCUUUGCCUUUAUCAAAAAUUAAGCAGCCACAGCUAUGUGGGUAUACUUCUGGUUCCUCUCUUUUGUUUCAUUUUCACUCCAUUGAUUCUGCCAGUCCAGGAGCAGUGUGAGUAGCAUCUUCCAGCACAAUGAAAACUAGACAGUAGGUAUGAAGCUUCCAGGUGAGUAUCAAGUUCAAGAGAGUAACCAAGAGCAGUGGCAGUCACCCGCAAUGUUUGAGGAUCUAUCUAUCCACGAGAACUUGCUAACCGAAAAGUACAAAAGCAACAUUCCUGGCACUAGGAGUUUUUUUUUUUGUUUACCUAUGGUGUCUAGUAGAGGCACUGUUGCCCAUUAUAAGGUAACUCCAUUUUAUCUCUUUUUAUUUAGACAUAUGUAUAUAUUUUAAGAAGCUUCUAUGGUAGAAAGUUUCCAUUAGCUUAUUUGAAAAGUCUUUAGUGUUGGUUAUCCUUCUCAGUACACCCAUCUCUACAUUUCCCUCUUACUCACUCUACUUAACUCUUCUUGUUCCAUUAUUACUUUUUAACCCUUUGUACUGUUGAAAUAAAUAUUCAUUAUCUUGAAAGACCCACCAUGACACCAUAUUAAUUUCCUGAACUUUGUGUAUAUUCCAAAUGGAACAUGCAUAUAUGAAGAUUCAAAGUUGAUAUCCAUAAAUGUAAGAAAGCAUAUGAUGUUUGUCUUUCUGGGUCUUGAUUACCACACUCAGAAUGGUUGUCUCCAGCUCCAUCCAUUUCCCUGUGAAUUUAAUAUUUUUUCUCUUAACAGAUAAAUAUCAUUCAAUUGUAAAAAUGAACCACAUUUUCAUUGUCUAUUUAUCAGGUUAUCUAGGUCAUCAGGCCAUCUAUUAAUGAUCAUCUAGGUUGUUUCCCAUCCUGGCUAGUUUGACUAGAGCAUAAAUUGACAUUGAUGAGCAGGUUUUCUAUGGUAAGAUAUAGAGUUCUUUGAGAGUAUUUCCAAGAAUGUAGAGCUGAAUCAUAUGGUAUAUCUAUUUUUAAGUUUGUGAAGACCUCCACACUGAUUUCUGUAGUGGCUGAACCAGUUUGCACAUUCUCCAGCAAUGAAUAAGUCUUCCACUUCUCUGGACCCACACCAGCAUCUGUCCCCAUUUGGUUCUGCUGUUUGUUUUACAACUGAUGAGGGAGAGAUUUCCAGAGCCAUACCUGUGUCAGUUUCUGCAGUGGAGAAGACUGAAGCUAAUUCGUAGGUUGAGGUGAAGCCUUGUCUUACAGAUUCUGAACUCACUGUGUGACAGGCAAGCAGGAGUGGAGCUUUGAAUGUACUUCUUCUAACCUCUGAAUUAUAUACCAUUUCCACACUGCUGUGCAAAAUCUAUGUUGUAUUUAGUGUUUAAUAAAAUAUUCCAUUGAACCAUUAUAUCCUAAUUGUGUUACUCUCUCUCAUGUUUUGGCUAUUAGGACUAUUUUAAAUUUUUAUUGUUAUUCUAAAAAUAUUUUACUGCA